UUCCGGUUGAUCCUGCCGGACCCCACUGCUAUCGGGAUAGGACUAAGACAUGCUAGUCGUGUGCCUCAGCCAAAACGAGGCACGGCGCACAGCUCAGUAACACGUGGCUAACCUGCCCUUAGGACGAGAAUAACCCCGGGAAACUGGGGCUAAUGCUCGAUAGGUGAAGAACUCUGGAAUGAGUCUUCACUUAAAAGAGUCUGCGUUAUGCUCGUAGAUUUCGCUUAAGGAUGGGGCCGCGACCGAUCAGGUUGUUGGUGAGGUAAUGGCUCACCAAGCCUUUUACCGGUGCGGGCCGUGAGAGCGGGAGCCCGGAGAUGGGCACUGAGACAAGGGCCCAGGCCCUACGGGGCGCAGCAGUCGCGAAAACUUUGCAAUACACGAAAGUGUGACAGGGCUAUCCCGAGUGCCAUCCGCUGAGGAAGGCCUUUACCCAGUCUAGAACGCUGGGGGAAUAAGGAGAGGGCAAGUCUGGUGUCAGCCGCCGCGGUAAUACCAGCUCUCCGAGUGGUAUGGAUGUUUAUUGGGCCUAAAGCAUCCGUAGCUGGCUAAGUUAGUCCCCUGUUAAAUCCAACGAAUUAAUCGUUGGAUCGCGGGGGAUACUGCUUGGCU
rnacentral:rRNA from 1 species